AUUGAACGCUGGCGGCAGGCUUAACACAUGCAAGUCGAGCGGGGUGAUGGUGCUUGCACUAUCACUUAGCGGCGGACGGGUGAGUAAUGCUUAGGAAUCUGCCUAUUAGUGGGGGACAACAUCUCGAAAGGGAUGCUAAUACCGCAUACGUCCUACGGGAGAAAGCAGGGGAUCACUUGUGACCUUGCGCUAAUAGAUGAGCCUAAGUCGGAUUAGCUAGUUGGUGGGGUAAAGGCCUACCAAGGCGACGAUCUGUAGCGGGUCUGAGAGGAUGAUCCGCCACACUGGGACUGAGACACGGCCCGGACUCCUACGGGAGGCAGCAGUGGGGAAUAUUGGACAAUGGGGGGAACCCUGAUCCAGCCAUGCCGCGUGUGUGAAGAAGGCCUUAUGGUUGUAAAGCACUUUGAGCGAGGAGGAGGCUCUUUUGGUUAAUACCCAAGAUGAGUGGACGUUACUCGCAGAAUAAGCACCGGCUAACUCUGUGCCAGCCGCCGCAGUAA
rnacentral:rRNA from 1 species